GGGACAUACCGCUGGAUGGCACCGUAAGAUUCUUUUCCCUUUUAUGCAUCUAGAACUUUCUCCAGUAUUUUUUCCGUUUUAUUGUGCACAUUUUCUCUCUUAAACUAAUCAUAUUUUAUGAGGGAAAAGUCUUCAACCAUAUGUAAAGAGAUUCAUACAAGCAUCUUGCCUGAUAUGCUAUUGUUGUGCCCUUCUGACCAUUUUAUGUUUCUGAACACUGCUGAUGCUGAUCUACUUUAUAGAACCGUCUAUCUAAAUCUCAUGUUUAUACGAGUUAAAGUUGAAGAAUUGUUCAGCAUCAUUGAUCUCUAAAUUUUAUAGUCUAGAUGUGCUGGUGCUCAUGCAUGUGCGGGACUCGCACUAACUCCAUGUUGGCACAGUGUGUAAAGGUGGUUCAACAAAAAUUUAAAAGAUACAACAUUUUCUAUUUGCUGCUAUUGCUAGCACAAUAACCAUUAUUUUUUCACCAAUAAACUCUUAUCUCUAGCAUUUUGUCUAAGAUUUACUUCCUUGGUAUUCUUCUUUGGAUUAGCCUAUUUACUUAUUUCCUUGGCAUUCUUCAGUGGAUUAGCCUUGUUUGUUUACUAUUCCCGUUUCAGUCUCUUUGGUUCAAAUUCUCUUCUAUAUUUCUGACUUUUGACAUGAUUUACAUUAACAUUAUUUUAAAUUGGUAUGUAAACCUAUUGAAAUUCCUUUUAUUGGCCUUCUACUAUUUCAUUUAUCUAAGAUCUAUGUUAGGCAGCUCAAACCUCUCUUUUUCUGUCAAAAAGGUUCUUCUAUGACUUCUCAAGUAUGUUUACAUCUUCUCAAUUCCUUUAUAUAAACAAACUUUUACUAUGUCCAAUUCCUUAUAUGUCAUAAUGUAUUAUGCUCCAACAAAUUUUUGCAAGGAAAAAAAAAUUAAUUUUUAUGUUUUAUAAACAUCUGUGUUAUUUAGGAUAAUUUUUAUCAAUUGUCCCUCAACUUUGAGAGUGUUUCACUUUCAUUCCUCAUCUUCAUUUUGUUAUGAUAAAAUCCCUAAACUUUGAAAACAUUACACUAAAAGCCCUCGUGCCAGAAUCCCAUUAGUUUUUCAGCAAGACGCUUAUGUGGCAGUGCCACGCUGUCAAAAAAAAUUUCUUUUCACAGACCAAACUUUCUUUCCCUUAUUCGUACUCAUCUACGUCCACUUACAACACCUCUCAUUGGCCACUACAUGGCAUUUCUUUAUUUUAUUUUAUUUUCUUUUUUUCUUUAUGUGUUGAUUGCUGAUUUUUUUUUUAACAAAAGAUGAAUUGAAGAUAAAAAAAAAAAAGCCUCAGAUCUUUCACCUGAGGACC
rnacentral:misc_RNA from 1 species